rnacentral:rRNA from 1 species
CUCACUGCUAUCGAGGCGAGACUAAGCCAUGCUAGUCAAACGACCGAACUAUGUCUGGGAGUGGCAUACUGCUCAGUAACACGUAGCUAACCUACCCUUAGGACGGGGACAACCCCGAGAAAUUGGGGCUAAUCCCCGAUAGGUAUGAUGUCUUGGAAUAGUAUCACGCCCAAAGGGGUUACAUACAUGUAUGUAGCUUGCCUAAGGAUGGGGCUGCGGCCGAUCAGGCAGUUGGCGAGGUAAAGGCUCACCAAACCAUUGACCGGUACGGGCCAUGAGAGUGGUAGCCCGGAGAUGGGCACUGAGACAAGGGCCCAGGCCCUACGGGGCGCAGCAGGCGCGAAACCUCCUCAAUGCACACACGUGCGAAGGGGUUACCUCGAGUGCCACCUGAAGAAGGUGGCUUUUCCUUGGUCUAAAAAGCCUUGGGAAUAAGAGGGGGGCAAGACUGGUGUCAGCCGCCGCGGUAACACCAGCCCCUCGAGUGGUGGGGAUGAUUAUUUGGUCUAAAGCGUCCGUAGCCGGCCGUGUAAGUUUCCCGUUAAAUCCAUCGUCUCAAGCGUUGGACUGCGGGAAAUACUGCUCGGCUAGAGAGUGGGAGAGGUCAACGGUAUUCCGGGGGUAGGGGCGAAAUCCUUUGAUCCCCGGAGGACCACCAGUGGCGAAGGCUGUUGACUAGAACACGUCUGACGGUCAGGGAC